CAGCAGUGGGGAAUAUUGCACAAUGGGGGAAACCCUGAUGCAGCGACGCCGCGUGGAGGAAGAAGGUCUUCGGAUUGUAAACUCCUGUUGUUGAGGAAGAUAAUGACGGUACUCAACAAGGAAGUGACGGCUAACUACGUGCCAGCAGCCGCGGUAAAACGUAGGUCACAAGCGUUGUCCGGAAUUACUGGGUGUAAAGGGAGCGCAGGCGGGAGAACAAGUUGGAAGUGAAAUCCAUGGGCUCAACCCAUGAACUGCUUUCAAAACUGUUUUUCUUGAGUAGUGCAGAGGUAGGCGGAAUUCCCGGUGUAGCGGUGGAAUGCGUAGAUAUCGGGAGGAACACCAGUGGCGAAGGCGGCCUACUGGGCACCAACUGACGCUGAGGCUCGAAAGUGUGGGUAGCAAACAGGAUUAGAUACCCUGGUAGUCCACACCGUAAACGAUGAUUACUAGGUGUUGGAGGAUUGACCCCUUCAGUGCCGCAGUUAACACAAUAAGUAAUCCACCUGGGGAGUACGACCGCAAGGUUGAAACUCAAAGGAAUUGACGGGGGCCCGCACAAGCAGUGGAGUAUGUGGUUUAAUUCGACGCAACGCGAAGAACCUUACCAAGUCUUGACAUCCCUUGACGAUGCUGGAAACAGCAUUUCUCUUCGGAGCAAGGAGACAGGUGGUGCAUGGUUGUCGUCAGCUCGUGUCGUGAGAUGUUGGGUUAAGUCCCGCAACGAGCGCAACCCUUAUGGUCAGUUACUACGCAAGAGGACUCUGGCCAGACUGCCGUUGACAAAACGGAGGAAGGUGGGGAUGACGUCAAAUCAUCAUGCCCUUUAUGACCUGGGCUACACACGUACUACAAUGGCGUUUAACAAAGAGAAGCAAGACCGCGAGGUGGAGCAAAACUCAAAAACAACGUCUCAGUUCAGAUUGCAGGCUGCAACUCGCCUGCAUGAAGUCGGAAUUGCUAGUAAUCGCGGAUCAGCAUGCCGCGGUGAAUACGUUCCCGGGCCUUGUACACACCGCCCGUCACACCAUGAGAGUCGGUAACACCCGAAGCCGGUGGCCUAACCGCAAGGAAGGAGCUGUCUAAGGUGGGACUGAUGAUUGGGGUGAAGUCGUAACAAGGUAUCCCUACGGGAACGUGGGGAUG
rnacentral:rRNA from 1 species